UUUACUUUCAGAUAACUUUAUUCCCCUGUGCCGUUUCAGAAGACUUAAUGGGCUGCAAUUCCAACUUGGCUGGAGUCGCUUGUCUUUCUACAUAAUACCGCAUUUGCUUAUUAUGUUUUGCUUUGCAUUUAUUACUGUGGCUCCAGCCUGGUAUGUUUACUUGGAGGCAUUAAUGAGCCUGGGGCUUUUAAGGAGCAGUCCAGCCUUCAAUUGUGAAAGUCACAUGAGCAGAAGUUCAUCAUGUAGUGCUCUUUGUUAGUCUCUCUAGUGUGCUAAAAAUUCAUCAUUAUUAAAAAAACCUUCAAAGUACAAUGGAACGUAAAGAACGGGGGCUUUUGGACAAGAACCAACAGCGACAAGGUCAGGUGAAAAUGGCACUAAAAUGUGUUUGUUUGUAAUACCUUGUGGGGACCAUUUUCCUGACAUAUUACGCUGUUGGGACCCCUGCUCCUUGUGGGGGCCGAAGCCUGGUCCCCACAAGGGAAAACGCUGAUUUUGGGUCAGGAGUCAGAUUUAGGACUAAGGUGUGAAUUGAGUUUUGGUUAGGGUUAGGCUGUAGAAAUGAAUGGAAGUCAAUGGAAAGUUCCCACAAAGACAGCCACGCAAACGUGUGUGUGCAUGUGUGUGUAUGAAGCUCGAUUGCAACCAGGAAGGGCCCUUAUUUGAACGCCAAGACAAAAUACAACGUCCUUUUAAUCCCUAUUUCCAUUUGCUACAUCUCAUACAGUAAGCACACAAACAAGUGUAACGUACAGAGAGUCCAGUCACUGGGCAUACAGAGAGCAACUUCCAGAGAAAAAUCACAAAGUCCACAAAGUUCCCAGAGCAGUCUUUGUGGAGGAAGUCCUUGGUCUCUCAAUGCGGAGGGACAUGCAGUGAAAUCGCUGGAAGGAAAACAAAGUGUGUACAACUCUGCUUGCAGACAGCUGCUAAUUCACAGUUAGGUUUGGAAAGUGCACACAAGGUACUGAUCUUGUAAUUAGCUCGAUGAAUAUUAUCUCUACUGUUCUUUACUACCAUAACACUUAGUGUUACAGAUCUCACUGUAAGACAGCAGUAUCUAUAUGAUGUAAAAAAUAAAUGACAUGACAUAUCGAUAUUCACAAAAAAAAAUCUAUUGGAAUUGAUUUCACAAUAUCUACAAAUUCACAAGUUAAUUACACUUUCUGAACAAGUUUUUGCCAUUAUUAAUCUCUUUAGCUGAUCUAGUUUUCUACGGCUUUCUAUGCAUCCACACCUUUGCAUCAAUGCUGUAGAGGUUAUGCUGUAUCAAACAGGAUAUUUAAUGCUGUACUAAUUAGCAUAAAUAUAUUCAUAUAGUAUUAUACUCUUAAUAUACUGCAUCUCACUGUAUAGAAUGACAUGGUUUUACUUAUUUUAACUCUGGCCCUGUUUGGAUAACACCACAUAAUACAAUUAAACCCAAACCUGAAUGGCAGAUUUCUGUUUAUCAAAUCUUCUGAGGUGUGUGGGAAAAAAUAAAUAAAUAAAUAAAUAAAAUGAAUAUUUCUCACGUUUCUCUGACUAAGCCAAAAUGUGCCUGCAUUAAAAAGAAAAAUCAUUAACUGCAAAUAAUAAAAAUGAACUUUUUAAAUUUUUUUUUUGCUCGCUCAUUUACAUUUUCCGUUUGCUGAUUAAUUCAGAAAUUAAUCUCUGCAGGGUGAUUUUAUCAUGGGUUAUCUGUGGAAACAGUUGCUCAAUUGUGCAGUUCUGAAUGCGUUUUCCCUUUUUUUUGAUACCCAAACAUGUGACAGUGGUGAAGGUGAAAAAAAUACAUGCAGGAUUUUAUUAGAAAAAAAUAAAUAAAUAAAAAGCUGUUAUUUUAAACAACGUAGAUGAGGUUUUCAAAGACUUGGUUUCUUUGCUAUCACUUUCAAAAACAAAAUGAAAAGUAAUCCUACAGUUAGAGCGCCUUGCAAAUGUGCUUCAUUCUCGAUACUGCACAAACACUAGCUUCAAAGAGACAUGGUGGUGGCAGCAUCAUGCUGUGGGGCUGCUUCAGUUGGGGAAAAAAAAGCCAGACAGAGAUCAUGGAAAAAGAAAUGCACCGAAAAAAAGAGAAUGGAGCUCCAGCUUAAAUAAUUCUUAAUAAAUUUGUUACAUGUAAUCAAAUUAAAUUAGUCAAGCUUACUUUAUUGAUGCUUGUUUAACAUGACAGCUUAAUUAAAAUCAUACAUUUACUUGGAUAAACUUAAUUUGAUUAAGUUUAAUCAAAUUUAAAAGUUGCAUCACAUUUUCUUUUUUUCAAUUAGGAGCCAAGUGAAGGCAGAAAACCUGUUAAAAUUCCAAAAUAAGAUGUCACAGUUUAUCACACACUUAUCACUUUAUCAUAUCACUUAUCACACUUUAUCAUAAUGUGAUAAAGGGCAAGAUAGUUUAACAUUUUGGCAAAGUUUGUCCAUUGCUGAAUGUUUUUGAUGGUAAAUGUAUUAUUUUUGGUUAAAUAACGCUUCUAUGGUUAGAGACUAUUGAUGACAUUAGUCAGAGAAUGACUAUUACAUAUAUUUUAUGCAUAUCACUUGACAAAUGCAGCUAUUUUGUUUAGAGCCACCAACCUACAGUAACUCCAAUCCAGGAACCUGGAGUAGUCAGAUGUAAUUAUUGAAGAUGUGUUGACACGUGCUGAAUUAAAUUAAAGUAAAAAUAUUUAAAAAUAAAAGGGUUCAUCUUGACUUGUGCAAAAAAAA